rnacentral:misc_RNA from 1 species
GAACGUCGUCGUGAUAAGAUCGUUUCGAGUUCGCGAGACAAGUGUUGGCGCACGUUCUUCCUGAUCGAAAUGACUUCGAAGAUUAACGAUGGAUAAAAUAAUUCGUCCGAAAGACGCAUCAUAAUUUUAGAAUAGACUCACAGUGACUUGCAAUCUGAGGCCAUUCUCGCGAGAAACGAAAGCAAGAAAACGUGUACAUGAAGAACGAAAGACAAAUAGGCAGACAAAUAGCACAAGGAACAUCUCCUCGGUCAAUAGUCCAAGCUACGUGCGAGGGAAGAAACGCCUAUCUCAAGUUCUGCAGCCACGCUGUCUGGAUGGUGAGAGAGAAAAAGAAAGAGAGAGAGAAGAGAGGCGUGAGGAGACAAAACGGGGAUCCUCUCCGUAGCGCGGACGCCACGCGCGACUAUAACAGACUAUAAGGAAGAACCUCUUAAUCGGGGACCCGGACCUCUGCAGGGCACCGAGGUCUUACCCUCGUGGCUCACCCAACGGCGCGGUGUAUCUCGACGGGGCUGACCCCCAACCCCACCACACGCCGUCACCCACGGGCCAUCAUCGUCGAUCACCAGCGGAAGAAGAACGCGCCUCCAGGCGCUUCUCGGUUCACUUCCCAUCGGCUUUGCCCCGCAUUCGUGUAAUCAGCCGACGAUGACCCUUUAGUGCCCAGAGCGUGUAUACCCAAGGCAACUGGACGAUCGCUCGUGCGUCGCACGAGCGAACUCGUGCCGUCUCUUCUCUCACGAUUAAGCACCAGAUGCGACUCACGCGAGUCUCUCAGAUGUAACAUAUACAUCGUAUAUUUUUGAAAAGUCCGUCGAGUGGUUGCAGCAAUUAAUCGUCUGUUAUUUAUGAAUUACAUUUUUUAAUUCGAUAAAAAAGUAAAAGCAUAUGAAAAUUUUACAUGGAAAAUAAUAAUAGGAAAAAUUAAUUAAAAUCUUUUAUCGUUUUUGUGUUUGUACACAAAAACGAAAUGUUUCUGAC